UGACCACAAAUCUGCUCCUGAAAGCUUUUCUCUCCUGCUUGUCUCAGUCAGAUCCCACACGCUGUUUUUCAAGGUGUCCUACAACUUAAUUAUUAAGAACAAGGAGGUUGUGGGGUACUUCUGUUACCUCAGAGCCCCUCCUCCUCGGAACUCCUUUGCAGCAGAAUUUUCUGAUGCAGCUUAAGGCUAUGACUCCAGUUACAAGCAGAACACAAACCCAGGUUACCAGAGAGGAAAGGGAAAGAGCAGUUGGAAGGUUUCUUUGUGGCAAAUCAGAUCCACAGUUUGGGAAGGAAGUGAAAAUGCACAUCUUUGUUAAAAAUGUUACAAAAAAAAUCAACACCUCUAAGCAGCAACUAUAUGAAGGUGGUUUUAGGUAUGCUACCUGGCAAGCAUGA
rnacentral:lncRNA from 1 species